UGGCGGACGGGUGAGUAAUGUCUGGGAAACUGCCUGAUGGAGGGGGAUAACUACUGGAAACGGUAGCUAAUACCGCAUAACGUCGCAAGACCAAAGAGGGGGACCUUCGGGCCUCUUGCCAUCGGAUGUGCCCAGAUGGGAUUAGCUAGUAGGUGGGGUAACGGCUCACCUAGGCGACGAUCCCUAGCUGGUCUGAGAGGAUGACCAGCCACACUGGAACUGAGACACGGUCCAGACUCCUACGGGAGGCAGCAGUGGGGAAUAUUGCACAAUGGGCGCAAGCCUGAUGCAGCCAUGCCGCGUGUAUGAAGAAGGCCUUCGGGUUGUAAAGUACUUUCAGCGGGGAGGAAGGCGACAGGGUUAAUAACCCUGUCGAUUGACGUUACCCGCAGAAGAAGCACCGGCUAACUCCGUGCCAGCAGCCGCGGUAAUACGGAGGGUGCAAGCGUUAAUCGGAAUUACUGGGCGUAAAGCGCACGCAGGCGGUCUGUCAAGUCGGA
rnacentral:rRNA from 1 species